GUCUACGGCCUUGCUACCCUGAACCAGCUCAAUCCUGUCUGAUCUCGGAAGCUAAGCAGGAUAGGGCCUGGUUAGUACUUGGAUGGGAGACCACCUAGGAAGACCAAGUGUUGUAGGAG
ensembl:rRNA 5S_rRNA 5S ribosomal RNA